rnacentral:lncRNA from 1 species
UAAUCUUUCGCUCAUUUGUCGACAGCAAAACUUCUGACAAUGGAAGCAAUAAGAUUCUCUAACGUGUCAGCUCUUCUUAUACUGCUGCUACUGUCACUGUCUCUCCGUGCGACGUCAAAAGACCAAACUGUUUCAUGCACAAUGUGUACCUCUUGCGACAAUCCAUGUAACCCUGUUCCGUCUUCUUCUCCGCCACCUACUCCUCCGUCCGGCGGUGGCUCUUAUUAUUAUUCUCCUCCUCCUCCUACUCCUCCGAGCUCCGGCGGCGGCGGCUCUUAUUAUUAUCCUCCUCCUUCAACUUCCGGUGGUGGUAAAUACCCUCCUCCGUACGGAGACGGUGGACAAAGUUACUAUUAUCCGCCUGCGUCUUACGGUAACUACCCGAUGCCGCCUCCCCCGAAUCCCAUCGUUCCUUAUUUUCCGUUUUACUAUCACAUUCCUCCUCCGGGAGAUUCUGGAUCGGAUCGUUUAGUGAGUUCAUUUCUCUUUGUUUUGUUCUCCGUCUUGCUUUGUUUUGGGUGAAUGAUCAUGUUUUACUACUACUUUUUACCUUUUUAACUAUGCUACUAUUUUCUUACUUUCUGUUGACAAUUUGUGAUUAACAUCAUAAUUACUCGUUGUUAAGAAUCUAUAUAAGCCUAAAAAGUAUUUAUAAAACUUUUUCUUUACUAAGGAAUAAGAGUUUUUGUUGUUGUUGUGUGGUAGUUUGAGUUACUUUGUAAAUAAGGAAGAAGCAUACAAGUCAAACUAGUUUCACUUUGCCCUAUUUUGUCGGUAAGAUUAAUCAUGAAGCAAUACAUAAGAAAGCAUUAAUUAAACAUCAAAACUACUAACAUAACCAACACAAAUUGAGCCAAUCACAUCCCUCUGAUGAUAGCCAUAAGUUAUUCACUGACCCAUGUGAUCGUAUCUUCUUCUUUUUCAUCUCUUACUUUUUUUAGAUUUGCCUUUCUAAGAUAUAACUUUAGUCUUUAGUUAUGCGUCUCCAAAAGAAAAUGCGAAAAUAGCCUGGUUAGCACGUGCGAGUAAUGGGUUUGCUAUGGCCCCACGAAGCCCGGUUCAACAUGAACUCUGUUUAAUCUGGUACACAAAUUGACUAGUUGGCAUGUUUGUUCUUUGUUUCAUUGUCAUGGUGAAUUCAGAUGACUAUCUUGGACUAAAUUAUGAUUUUAAUCAUCAAGACUGUACCAAUUUUCAUAUAUCGGGAAUGAAUUGAUGAGAGAGUAACCGUGGUUUAAAUCAAUAUACCAAACCGGUCGAUUGCAUCUUCUGAACUAAGAAGGCUCGUUAAGAUUGAAAGGCCUUUUAUAGCUUUUUAUUCCCUUUAAUGCCUUUCCUUACCCUCUGGGCUCUGACAAAACUUGUUGAUAAUUUUUUUUAAAAAGUAAGGCAGCACCAAAACCAACACUGCAUAGUGCAUACAAAUAAGAUUUUUACUUGGGUUGCAUUCAUCUCGUUUUACAUUUUCAUUCUUCAUUCAUGAAACCAAGAUGACAUUCUUCAAUCCUACAUUCCGCGAUUCUAUUCAAUCCUAAAGCAAGAAAGUGUUUCCUCAGUACAAGACUGACUUCACAUGUUGUUGUCAAUGAUAUCACGCAUCAUCUGUAUUGGAAUCAGCCCUUCUGUCCUGAUUGCAUCUUUGCUUGGGUCAGGACUGAUGAAGAACAAUGUAGGUAAUCCCCGAACCUGCAUUCAUAUCAUCAAGAUUUUGUUAUUGUAACGAAUUACAUUGAUAUGCUGAGAGCAGACUGAUGAGCAAAAAAAAUAGAAGGUGAGAGUAAGAGUUUACCUGCAUGUCGCGAGCAAACUCGUACUCAUCAUCUGUAUCAACUUUCACAAUCAUUGCAUUGCAUCUAGAUAACGACUGAUAAACAGUCGUAGUUUGAUCUUUGGAUAGUAGUAGUUCAGUCGUUAUAUUUUGCGACUUAAUUGCGUCUAUUUUACGACUACAACAACCAGUGAUAAAAUAGUCGUAAUUAAGUCGCAAAAUUGCGACUGAUUAACAACUCCUCGUAUUAGCGACACAUCAAUUUGUGACCACAGUCGCAAAUCAGUCGUUAUGUUACGUUUUGCGACUGAAUAACUACUGAAUAUUGCAGUUGGUAAAUAAAUGUUUUCUUGUAGUGAUAACAAAUUUAUAAAACUUCUAGUCUUAUUGUUUGAUGCAAGGUUCGAAGGAUGAUAAUUGGCUUAAGAAAAUCGCAAUAUUGUAAUAGAUAAUCUGCUGAUUUUAAACUCGAGUGCGACAUGAGUCAUCUCCAAACCUGUAAGAAAAAAGUAUACAAAAAGAAGUUGCAUGUGAGGGAAGGGGGAUAAAGUGGUGGCAAUACUCAUCAUCUUCUUUAUAAAACAAACAAGGAAGAAUCUGAUACACAUUUUGGCAGCCAACACAUAUAGAUCUUUGUCUCCCUUUGCCUUUGUUGUUUUGUUAGACUCUCUCUUUCUUUCGUUUUCAAAGUUUCAAAUUACUUCAACCCACAUUCACAUUACAUAAGAUCAAUAAUGGUAAACAUUCAAAGGCAAAAUUCAAUUUUGCCUCUGUCACUUGUGCAAAUUUGGAAGACUUUUUUCUUAAAUGCAAUUAAAUUCUAUUUGCUAUUUUGUUACAUGAUGAUGACACGGAUCCUUUUGCAUCAAUGUAACUUUAUAUGUAAACUGAAAACCUUUUAUAUCAAUAUAGGGUGCCGACUUCCAGUGGGCCUAUAAUUGUACUCCAAGACCUAAUUUCACUUACUUUCAAAACUCAUCCAGCUAUAUCUGACGUAACAACUAUCUAUUCUUACGAGGAGAUACAAUGCUAUCUCGAGUCAGUUCCCGUUUUAAAAUGAAUCUACUCAUUAAAAAAUACCAAUGUCAAUUUUUUUCUCAGUAAUUUUUGUAAUCCUUUGGAAAAUCAUGAUAUGAAUACCAAUGCAACAAAACAUUUUAGGUUCCGAAAAUAUUUUGUCCAAGGUGGUAGAGUUACGUUUGAUCGUUUACUUCAAACUAUGCAAUAUCUUAGGUGCUCGUGGUGAUACAGUAUCACUCUACCUUGAGAUCAUUACUCCAUCUAAGCUGAUAAUUCUAAUCGAUGAGAUGAUGAAUGAAUGCAUUCAAUCAAUCAAGUUUUGAAAGGGAGUAGAAUUAUGUCAUAGCAGAAUUACUAAUGGUAUGUAGUUAAGUUUUUACUAUACACCAUAUUGAUUUUAUGUAGCCUUGGCCUAAUGCUUAAAAUGAGUAAAAAUAAUAUAUACCGUCCAAGACUCUAAAUAUACGAAUAUAGUCACACACUUACAAAUUAUAGAUGUUAUAAGAACAUGUCAUAUAGAAAAUACACAGCUUUUGAAUAUAUAAAAAAUAACUUUUCAAAUAAUAAAAAUAAAUAAAAUACGAAUAUCCUUAAUAAAGAGAGGUACACUUCUACUCUGAGCCUCUGAAUGUGCUUCUUCCUCUCUCUCUCUCUCCAUAUCCCUACCUUUCAUCUUCUUUUCCCCUUAUCACUUGAUCUUUAAUACUCCUAAUCUUUCGCUCAUUUGUCGACAGCAAAACUUCUGACAAUGGAAGCAAUAAGAUUCUCUAACGUGUCAGCUCUUCUUAUACUGCUGCUACUGUCACUGUCUCUCCGUGCGACGUCAAAAGACCAAACUGUUUCAUGCACAAUGUGUACCUCUUGCGACAAUCCAUGUAACCCUGUUCCGUCUUCUUCUCCGCCACCUACUCCUCCGUCCGGCGGUGGCUCUUAUUAUUAUUCUCCUCCUCCUCCUACUCCUCCGAGCUCCGGCGGCGGCGGCUCUUAUUAUUAUCCUCCUCCUUCAACUUCCGGUGGUGGUAAAUACCCUCCUCCGUACGGAGA